rnacentral:tRNA from 1 species
GCCCGGAUGGUCUAGUGGGUAAGAGUUACUCCUUCAUAUGGAAGAGGUCCCGCGUUCGAAUCGCGGUUCGGGCC